rnacentral:pre_miRNA from 1 species
UAUAAUGUUUUGACUUUUCGUCUUAUUUAAAUUUUUUUACGAUUAAUAUUUUUAUUCGAACUAAAUGAUAAAACAUGAAUAGUGCUUUAUACGUGAUUAAUUUUUUAAAAUUUUUUAUAAUUUUUUUAAAUAAGACGAAUGGUAAAAAUUAGACACGAAAAAAC